CCUUGAGGUCUCAUACUCAAGCCUCCACCAAUGAGACAGACCACUUCCUGUUGCAUGUGAGUCAAGAUGGAAGACCUCUUAGCUCCUUCUCCAGCACUGCCUCUGCCUGCAUUCUGCCUUGCUUCCUGCCAUGAUGAGAAUGGACUAAACCUCUGAACAAUUUACGUGGAGAACAGUUGUUGACAAGGUGAAACGGAAGAAAGUGCACUCUCUUGGAAGUCGAACAAAACAAACCGAGUACGUCUUUGGCUGUCAUCCUUUAACACAGAGGUCAAUAUUUUCAGUUUUCACCUUUGCAAGCCUUGGGCAUAUGAAGCCCAGGAGUCUGGCUUGGUUUUCCUUCACAGCCCUCAAUCUCAGAAGCCAAGGGACUGGAGUGAUAGCUCAGCUGGCCUGAAAAGCAUGAGACCUGAAUUCGAUCCUCUGGAUUUCCUGUAAAGAUGCCAAGCUUGAUGGUACAUUUAUGGUCUAGUGCUGGCGAGGUGGGGACAAGCAAAUUCCAGGAGUUUGGUGUCACACUACUUGGUGACUGUUGCUGUCAGCUUUGGUGGUAAAGGAAAACUGCCUGUUUGCACUUACUGCAGAGACUUUGUAAGUCUUCAAUCUCUGAGAACAACUGUCCUUAUUGUGACAUGGUAGCUCAAAGCUCAGCCAUAAAUGGGAGGAGACACUCCUAUAUCUGUAUAAACCCCUCCAAGGAUUGUGGAGCAAAGAGGAAGGAGGAAGGGGGUGUAAAGAAUGAGGGAGAGUGUUGUCUAUAUUUCUCAGAGUUGAAGCACUCUCUCCUGGAGGUGGGACAGAGACUCCUGGAAGCUAAGGAAGCUUACAAGGCUCAGCAAGCUCAUAGAAGCUGCUAGUGUCACAAGGCCCCUCCCUAAGGGUAUAAAAAGCAAUGCAUAACUGCUAAGGAGAGACCUUUGGCUGAACUGCCAAUAGGUUGGGAAGGGAACUCCAGAGAUGCAGCUUUUGGGUGUCAUCACCCAUACUGGGGUGGGCCUUUUAGUGAUGUAGCUGCUUUUGAGUCCACCCCUCCCCUGUGUUCCUGUAAGUAACCCCAAUAAACUUACUGAUUCAACAAGCUAGACUUGGCAGGGGUAAAGGAUCCUUUCUGUGGUCUGUGUCCUCUCUGGACUGAACAAACAUUUGUUCAUACUGUUUCAGGAAAAGUCACACUACAAGCUAAUCUUAAUAAAUCAAAAACCUUAAAAUUAGUCAGGCAGUGGUGGCAUACUCCUUUAAUUCCAGCACUUGGGAGGCAGAAUCAGGAGGAUCUCUGUGAGUUCAAGGCCAGUUUGCUCUACAAAGUGAGUUCCGGGACAGCCAGGGCUACACAGAGAAACCCUGUCUCUAAAAACUCAAAAAACAAAACAAAACAUAAAACCAAACAACAACAACAAAAACUUAAAAUUAAUAAAGAGGGGGCUAGGGAGAUGGCUCAGUGUUUAAGAGCACCAGCUGCUCUUUGAGAGGACCUGGGUUCAAUUCUUGGCACCCACAUGGCAACUCACCACUGUCUGUAACUUUAGCUCUAGGGGUUCCAACACCUUCACACAUGCAGGCAAAACACCAAGGCAGAUAAAAUAAAAAUAAAUAAAUCAUUUUUUAAAUUAAUAAAGAAAAUACCAACAAACCAAUAGUUCAUGGUUAUAUACAUGCACAUUGGAGGAAAAGAAAUAUAAUGAGCAAUUGGAGAGAUGGUUCAGUGGUGAAGCUCAUUGGCUGCUCUUCCAGAGGAUCCGGGAUCAAUUCCUAGCACCCCCAUGGAGGCUCACAACCAUCUAUAACUCUAUAGUUACAUGGGAUCUGACACUGUCUUCUGGCCUCCAUGGGCAAUGCACACAUAUGGUGCACAGACAUACAUGUAGGCAAAACACCCACACACAUACAUAUAAAAAACUUUGAUUUUUUUUUUAUUUUAUGUGUAUGUGUUUUGCCUGCAUGUGUGUCUGUGUACCACAUGCCUUCCUGGUGUUUGCAGAGAUCAGAAGAG
ensembl:lncRNA